rnacentral:tRNA from 2 species
GUCGCUGUAGCUCAGCAGGAUAGAGCGACCGCCUCCUAAGCGGUAGGCCGGAGGUUCGAAUCCCCUCAGCGACGCCA